AAAUUGAAGAGUUUGAUCAUGGCUCAGAUUGAACGCUGGCGGCAGGCCUAACACAUGCAAGUCGAACGGUAACAGGAAGCAGCUUGCUGCUUUGCUGACGAGUGGCGGACGGGUGAGUAAUGUCUGGGAAACUGCCUGGAGGAGGGGGUUAACUACUGGAAAAGGUAGCUAAUACCGAAUAACGUCGCAAGACCAAAGAGGGGGACCUUCGGGCCUCUUGCCAUCGGAUGUGGCCAGAUGGGAUUAGCUAGUAGGUGGGGUAACGG
rnacentral:rRNA from 1 species